rnacentral:rRNA from 1 species
CAGUCGCCACGGGAAUACGGAGGGUGCAAGCGUUAUCCGGAUUUAUUGGGUUUAAAGGGUCCGUAGGCGGACUUAUAAGUCAGUGGUGAAAGUCUGUCGCUUAACGAUAGAACUGCCAUUGAUACUGUAAGUCUUGAGUAUAUUUGAGGUAGCUGGAAUAAGUAGUGUAGCGGUGAAAUGCAUAGAUAUUACUUAGAACACCAAUUGCGAAGGCAGGUUACCAAGAUAUAACUGACGCUGAGGGACGAAAGCGUGGGUAGCGAACAGGAUUAGAUACCCCGGUAGUCCCUGUCUCUUAUAC